rnacentral:rRNA from 1 species
UACGUAGGGGGCAAGCGUUGUCCGGAAUCAUUGGGCGUAAAGGGCGCGUAGGCGGAUAUUUAAGUCUGGUGUGAAAACUUGGGGCUCAACCCCAAGCCUGCAUCGGAAACUGGAUAUCUUGAGGACAGGAGAGGAAAGUGGAAUUCCACGUGUAGCGGUGAAAUGCGUAGAGAUGUGGAGGAACACCAGUGGCGAAGGCGACUUUCUGGACUGUAACUGACGCUGAGGCGCGAAAGCGUGGGGAGCGAACAGG